rnacentral:snRNA from 1 species
GUGCUCGCUUUGGCACCACAGAUACUAAAAGUGGAAUAUACAGAGAAGAUUAGCAUGGCCCCUGCACAAUUCGUGAAGUGUUUCAUAUUUUA